UCGUUUGGGAUCAAAAACUGGUGCCAAUGAAAUCAAGCAACAUUCCUUCUUCCGUGAAAUGAAUUGGCCUCUUAUUCGUUGCAUGACACCGCCUGAGUUAGAAGUUCCACUUCAGGUGACUGGAAGGGAACCUGAUUCCAAGGUGAAGGAUGCACAAUGGGCUGAUGAACAAAUGCCUAUUGAUUCUCUACAGAAUCUGUGAAGCAACAAACACAACUAGCUGACGAGAUUCAAGCCUACUCAAAGCUCUCAUAUCUCUCAAAUGAUUGCAUGGCGCUACUCCUGGAAGAGAUGGGUUUCGGACCUGGAUAAUUUUGAGGAAAAAAGGCAAACCAUCAUGUAUAGAAUAAGGAAGCCAUGGUCGUGCAAUGGUAAUCUCUGUAGAGUAAUAUUUGCAGUUAAUGUAAUUAAUUAAUGCUUCAGGAGAGAUUGAUUCCUAAA